rnacentral:rRNA from 1 species
AAACUUUACAAUGCGGGAAACCGCGAUAAGGGGACACUGAGUGCCAGCAUAUUAUGUUGGCUGUCCACAUGUAUAAAAAUCAUGUGUUAGCAAGGGCCGGGCAAGACCGGUGCCAGCCGCCGCGGUAACACCGGCGGCCCGAGUGGUGAUCACUUUUAUUGGGUCUAAAGGGUCCGUAGCCGGUUUGAUCAGUCUUCUGGGAAAUCUGACAGCUCAACUGUUAGGCUUUCAGGGGAUACUGUUAGACUUGGGACCGGGAGAGGUAAGAGGUACUACAGGGGUAGGAGUGAAAUCUUGUAAUCCCUGUGGGACCACCAGUGGCGAAGGCGUCUUACCAGAACGGGUCCGACGGUGAGGGACGAAAGCUGGGGGCACGAACCGGAUUAGAUACCCGGGUAGUCCCAGCCGUAAACGAUGCUCGCUAGGUGUCAGGGACGGUGCGACCGUUUCUGGUGCCGUAGGAAGCCGUGAAGCGAGCCACCUGGAAGUACGCCGACAAGGC